GAAUUACUGGGCGUAAAGCGCACGCAGGCGGUCUGUCAAGUCGGAUGUGAAAUCCCCGGGCUCAACCUGGGAACUGCAUUCGAAACUGGCAGGCUUGAGUCUUGUAGAGGGGGGUAGAAUUCCAGGUGUAGCGGUGAAAUGCGUAGAGAUCUGGAGGAAUACCGGUGGCGAAGGCGGCCCCCUGGACAAAGACUGACGCUCAGGUGCGAAAGCGUGGGGAGCAAACAGGAUUAGAUACCCUGGUAGUCCACGCCGUAAACGAUGUCUACUUGGAGGUUGUGCCCUUGAGGUGUGGCUUCCGGAGCUAACGCGUUAAGUAGACCGCCUGGGGAGUACGGCCGCAAGGUUAAAACUCAAAUGAAUUGACGGGGGCCCGCACAAGCGGUGGAGCAUGUGGUUUAAUUCGAUGCAACGCGAAGAACC
rnacentral:rRNA from 1 species